UUUUGUUUCCUUCCAAGCCCUUUGAUUGAACCUGCAGCCCAAAAGCACUUUGGAAACAAAGAACAAAGCAAGGAGUGCCUGAAGAAGUGAAGAACACUUUGUGGGGGACUCCAAGAAACGUGACCCCUGGCCUUCAGCUUUGAAGCUCCUUUUUCUCCCACUGCCUGGAUUUGAUAAGAGCAAAACUGACACGUUUUAGAGAAACAGCAGCAGCCAGCUUCCUGUCUCAGCCCACUUUUCCCUGGGCGACCCUGCCCUCCCUCUGGCUCGCCCCAGCUACCAGGUGAAGAGAUUAAAACUCCACACAAGGCCCUCCAUGGAAUGCUCAGCUGGGCGACAUUUUUAAUAUUGCAUUACCUUAUGAAAUUUCCUCCUUCCCUAUGGAAACAUACCUCCAGUUCAGUGGAAUGUGCCCAGCCCUUCUAUCUUGAAGUGAAGAUCACAAUAUUUAAUACUAAUUUCCUUGGGAUUGAGCUUACAGCACACCAGAUGAGGACAUUGGAAACUAAGAGACUAUGACAUUUAUCCAGGAUUGCUUUGUCUGAAGGAUGCAUAUGGACGAAUCCCAGCCACUUGAGCACCAGGGAAACUUUCCACAGCGCAGGGGGUCUUA